rnacentral:misc_RNA from 1 species
GUCGCCACUGUGGGCAUAGCAGU